rnacentral:rRNA from 1 species
UGCAGUCGAGCGAACGGAUAAGGAGCUUGCUCCUUUGAAGUUAGCGGCGGACGGGUGAGUAACACGUGGGUAACCUACCUAUAAGACUGGAAUAACUUCGGGAAACCGGAGCUAAUGCCGGAUAACAUUUGGAACCGCAUGGUUCUAAAGUAAAAGAUGGUUUUGCUAUCACUUAUAGAUGGACCCGCGCCGUAUUAGCUAGUUGGUAAGGUAACGGCUUACCAAGGCAACGAUACGUAGCCGACCUGAGAGGGUGAUCGGCCACACUGGAACUGAGACACGGUCCAGACUCCUACGGGAGGCAGCAGUAGGGAAUCUUCCGCAAUGGACGAAAGUCUGACGGAGCAACGCCGCGUGAGUGAUGAAGGUUUUCGGAUCGUAAAACUCUGUUAUUAGGGAAGAACAAAUGUGUAAGUAACUGUGCACAUCUUGACGGUACCUAAUCAGAAAGCCACGGCUAACUACGUGCCAGCAGCCGCGGUAAUACGUAGGUGGCAAGCGUUAUCCGGAAUUAUUGGGCGUAAAGCGCGCGUAGGCGGUUUCUUAAGUCUGAUGUGAAAGCCCACGGCUCAACCGUGGAGGGUCAUUGGAAACUGGGAAACUUGAGUACAGAAGAGGAAAGUGGAAUUCCAUGUGUAGCGGUGAAAUGCGCAGAGAUAUGGAGGAACACCAGUGGCGAAGGCGACUUUCUGGUCUGUAACUGACGCUGAUGUGCGAAAGCGUGGGGAUCAAACAGGAUUAGAUACCCUGGUAGUCCACGCCGUAAACGAUGAGUGCUAAGUGUUAU